rnacentral:rRNA from 1 species
GACGAACGCUGGCGGCGUGCUUAACACAUGCAAGUCGAACGGAAAGGCCCUGCUUUUGUGGGGUGCUCGAGUGGCGAACGGGUGAGUAACACGUGAGUAACCUGCCCUUGACUUUGGGAUAACUUCAGGAAACUGGGGCUAAUACCGGAUAGGAGCUCCUGCUGCAUGGUGGGGGUUGGAAAGUUUCGGCGGUUGGGGAUGGACUCGCGGCUUAUCAGCUUGUUGGUGGGGUAGUGGCUUACCAAGGCUUUGACGGGUAGCCGGCCUGAGAGGGUGACCGGCCACAUUGGGACUGAGAGACGGCCCAGACGCCUACGGGAGGCAGCAGUGGAGAAUAUUACACAAUGGGCGGAAGCCUGAGGCAGCAACGCCGCGUGCGGGAUGACGGCCUUCGGGUUGUAAACCGCUUUCGCCUGUGACGAAGCGUGAGUGACGGUAAUGGGUAAAGAAGCACCGGCUAACUACGUG